UACGUAGGGGGCAAGCGUUGUCCGGAUUUAUUGGGCGUAAAGAGCGUGUAGGCGGCCAGGUAGGUCAGCUGUGAAAACUCGAGGCUCAACCUCGAGACGUCGGUUGAAACCACCUGGCUAGAGUCCGGAAGAGGAGAGUGGAAUUCCUGGUGUAGCGGUGAAAUGCGCAGAUAUCAGGAAGAACACCCGUGGCGAAGGCGGCUCUCUGGGACGUGACUGACGCUGAGACGCGAAAGCGUGGGGAGCAAACAGG
rnacentral:rRNA from 1 species